GCGAGUGUGGCAGGGCAAGGGUUGCUCCUGCCUUCCAAGCAGGUUGUCGCGCGUUCAAAUCGCGUCGCCCGCU
rnacentral:tRNA from 1 species